UCUGCACCUAAUGGAGGACACUAUUUAUAUCAUGGUUAGCCACCCUACUAGCACCACAUCCCUCAUCAUCAGGAGCGGUGGUCAUGUGCAUUGGUGGUCGCUAGGACAAGGUGAGCUUUAUUGUUUUAGAUUGUAAUCUAUGUGAUUUUGUUAGAGGGGAGAAGGGUUUUUUCUUAUUUGGUUUUUUGAUUUUUCGUUUAUGUGAUGACCAAUAGUGGGACCUGUUGUGGAGGAGAGUGUCCCUAGAGUGCAGCUGGUUGGGACUGUUUGCGGCUAUCUGUCUAUGCUAAAGGAUUAUCUUUGACUUCUGGAUAUAAGGCCUAGAUGGUGGAACUUUUAACCAAGGAGGAGUGAUAGAGUAUUUGAAUUGUCUUUUGCUUCUCGGGCAUUUUUGUACAACUAAUGAUAGUCCUGCUCCCUAGUUUUGGCUCUUAGCUGGAUAGCUCUACCCUUAUCUAUGUAUAAUCAUACUACAACAGCGACAUCUCUGGAGAACAUAUUGUUUUGAGGUAUGCUUCUAAUUGGAAGGCAACUUCUUAUAUAUAUUUGUAUAUCUAUACAAUCUGAUACAGUGAUUUAUGAUUAUUUCAUCUAUCACUAAGUUCUCUCCCCUUCCUACUUUCUUAUGUUGUAUAGUUUACCCUCUAUAUAUCUGUG